AGUUCGAUAUAAAAGUUUUGGACGAAAAUGAAAACGUGUCAAUUUGUCAUUUUCACGAGGUUGGGGUAAUACCAUGUUCAACUACUUAAGACAUUUGCUCAAAUCUCGGUUUUGCCUUUAGUUUUUGAGAAAAUUAACAACUAAGGAAUAAUUUGUGACUUCUUUCAUACCCCAAACCACGACCUUCGCAAGCGUUUCUGGCAGUCUCGUGAUGUUGCGGCUUUGGGUUUAGAAACUGGAUAAUGUAGCUAGUUUUUUCCAACAACGGUUUCAAAAGGCCAGUAAUUUACAAUAUCUGGCUUAAAAUUACAACGUUCUUGUUAUUAUAACCAAUUUUUUAUUUUAUGUUUGUAAUUUAGUAAGUGCAGCAGCUGCCGCCUCAGUCUGUGACUAAGAGCGUCGUCAAUGGACGACUGCAAAUUCAUUAGGAUUAUAAAUUCUUCUGACGAGGAUGCGCACACACCCCUAGGAUGACAAGGAUUUGAAGACAUGUUUCUCAAAGAUGGAAUGGACUGGUCUAGUGAAAUGUGAAAGUGUGCACUACAGAAACUUGAAGAGGAACCACCUGGCUAUAGGGCUAAACUCCCCAGUACCUGCUUUUAUGAGGAGAGGCAGAUUUGAACUGGUGAACAAUGCUCCGCUUCUCGCACCCAGUAACUUCAAGGAGGAUGAGUGGACGCCUCGCCUGGAGAGAUAAGAAAAAGAAGCUUUCGGAAUGAAAGGGGAGGCUCUGACAAGAUUUAAAGAAGAGGAGGACGUUACAGUGAAAGAAGGGGAGGAAGAGAUGACUGUCACAGUGAAAGAAGAGGAGGACGUUACAGUGAAAGAAGGGGAGGAAGAGAUGACUGUCACAGUGAAAGAAGAGGACGUUACAGUGAAAGAA